CGGGAAGCUGGUCAAUGAGCAGGGAGCAGCUGCACGUGGGCUCAGGCUCCGCGGGCGGCUGCUGGCGGCGCUGGCCAAUGGCUAGGCUGCUUUCCCACGUGGGUCUCGGUCGCCGUCGCUGAUUGGUCGGCUCUCCCCAGCCGCCGGCCGGACUGUCAAUCAGCGCGCCCGGCGCCGCAGCUUAACCCUCGCGGUCCCGCUGCAGGAAAGGGUUGCUUGCAGAGUCAAGUUCCAGGCUUCCCAGGAGCCAAACCCAGGGCUGUGCAUUUUAUCAGCGAAUUUUCCCUGCUGCUCUUCAAGCCCAGGGACAGAGGCUCUGAGAAUCUGAGAACCAAAAGCUGGAGCUGCAAAGGCCUUGGGACUAUUGGCCUAGUUCAGCUCUCUCAGGUUCAAGGCCAAGAGAGAAAGAGUGAACCUCCCAGUGGGCCACGUGGGCCACAGACAAUAGCCAAGUGACAACAGUGCAGGUGAAGCUGCCGAAAGGCUGGAGGUAGAGGGUGUGUGUUUCCAGGCAACAGAUGAAUGACCAAGAAACUGCAAGCCAGAGACCCUCCAGAGAUGCUGGCCGGGCUGGGAGUUGCCCAAGGACCCUAGGCCCCCAGCUGGCCCUGCUCCCAGCCACCACAUGAACUUAGCCUGGCCCCAGGAAAAGUGAAUUGAUUGAAUUACCCGGCAUUGAUUGAGGUUUGCUUUCUGCCACCUGGUGGAAAGAGGGCUCUGGUGGUCAGGAAUCUGGGGGUGGCUUCCCUGAUUCGGUGUGGAUCACUGGAAAAAUCGAGAUUUGAUAACCAAGAAGACCAUCAGGAUCAUGCUGAGAUCUCAUGACACCAACUUCGAUGACUAAAGAUUCCCCCAAAGAAAGAAGAAUGCAUUAUUGCUCUCAACACUGAUUCUUAUCCAGAACCCUGUUUUUCUCCUUUUUACUGUAAAACUGCCUGCAGUUCUUCCCAAUGGAAGGCACAGUCUUUAAGGCCUAGACUGCUGUGGCCUCCUUUGCCUGGCAAAUCAGUAAAACUGUUCUUUUCUCCUUUACCAAAAACUCUGUCUCUGCAUUUCUGUUCAGCACCAGUGGACAGAGGCCAAGUUUCAGCAACAUCAUGUCCACAGCUUCAACUAACUGUGGAUUGCAUAGUGCUUCAGCAUUUACUACAGGAAAAAAAACAAAACAAAACAAAAACCCGCAUACACAUAAAAGAAAAAAGGAG